rnacentral:rRNA from 1 species
GACGAACGCUGGCGGCGUGCCUAAUACAUGCAAGUAGAACGCUGAAGGAGGAGCUUGCUUCUCUGGAUGAGUUGCGAACGGGUGAGUAACGCGUAGGUAACCUGCCUGGUAGCGGGGGAUAACUAUUGGAAACGAUAGCUAAUACCGCAUAAGAGUAGAUGUUGCAUGACAUUUGCUUAAAAGGUGCAAUUGCAUCACUACCAGAUGGACCUGCGUUGUAUUAGCUAGUUGGUGAGGUAACGGCUCACCAAGGCAACGAUACAUAGCCGACCUGAGAGGGUGAUCGGCCACACUGGGACUGAGACACGGCCCAGACUCCUACGGGAGGCAGCAGUAGGGAAUCUUCGGCAAUGGACGGAAGUCUGACCGAGCAACGCCGCGUGAGUGAAGAAGGGUUUCGGAUCGUAAAGCUCUGUUGUAAGAGAAGAAAGAGUGUGAGAGUGGAAAGUUCACACUGUGACGGUAUCUUACCAGAAAGGGACGGCUAACUACGUG